rnacentral:rRNA from 1 species
UACGAAGGGAGCUAGCGUUGUUCGGAAUCACUGGGCGUAAAGCGCACGUAGGCGGAUGUGUCAGUCAGGGGUGAAAUCCCGGAGCUCAACUUCGGAACUGCCCUUGAUACAGCACGUCUUGAGUCCGGAAGAGGUGAGUGGAAUUCCUAGUGUAGAGGUGAAAUUCGUAGAUAUUCGGAGGAACACCAGAAGCGAAGGCGGCUCACUGGCCCGGUACUGACGCUGAGGCACGAAAGCGUGGGGAGCAAACAGGA